AGCAGAUCGUUUAAGACCAUCGUCUGGCAAAUCGUGCGACAUUUAUAUAUCCGACGUGGGAUCUUUAAAGUCGGGUACACAGUCGUGCGAGAUCGUGUGUAACACUGUGUGCUCUCUCCACAGUUGUGUUUCAUUGAAAUCGUUAUUCUUACUAUUUGCUCUCGAAAAAGCAUGAAUAAAAUCCGUGCCAUUUGAAGCAAAACCGACUUUUGCCGAUUUUUAUGUUCCCAAGGGAUCUCACGAAUUUCUAUGGUUCGUGCGUCACGAGCUCGCAAAUAUUUGAGCCGUUUAUUUGAGCCAAAUUAACACCGUGGAACAAAAAGUAAAAGAAAUUGAUAAAAUUAUAUCAAUCGAGUGCCUUGGUACUAAAAUUUUCGAAAUGUAAAGAUAAUCCAUUUGAAUAGCUCGUUUAUUAGAUAUUAUCGCGAAACGAAGCAAGGAGGAACUCGUAAUUGGAGAAGAACAUCCAGGAGGAACGAUCGCCAAGUCUGUUGGAAGAGUACUAUGACGCAUGAUCGUUGGGUUGAGGACACAAGACAUCACUAUGACGUAACUGAGCUAGGCGAGAAGACCGCGCGUCCUUGCGCUACUCGCGGCACUUGGGCCAAUUAAAGCAUUCAAGAGACUAAUCAAUUGUGUACCGACAAGUUGUUUGCAAGGGCUUAUAAAAAGAAGCGGAGAAAACGAGCUACGAUCGUUUCGUCGACGAUCUUCUUCCUUGAACAUGAUCGAAUGUAUCACUUGUUGACAAGAUGAAAGAGAUCCGUAACUGUGAGCCAAUCCCUGUGGCACCAGAGAUGGAAAGGAUGAUACAUUUUCUCGAUUAGAACCCAAUAAGUUACUCCUCUCAUUUACGUAUUCCAUCGAAACCAGAAUUUCGAGUUAUCCACGAAAGCGUUAAAUUGAUCGUGAAAAAAAUUACUCGAGGGAAUCCUUGGAGCUUUGACACGUGAAUGACAGACGGCAUUCUGCGUUGAGAUUAAUCCUACGAUAAUCAACGAACACGUCGACCGUGAAUCUUCCCUCUGGCAGCGACUUCACACCCCCUUUGUGCUACAAAGAGGAAGUUAAAGUUCGACUCUUCUGGCACACGAUUCAAUCUUCGAGGGAAUCGAGACGGUAAAUCACUGUCGCACCCAGUGUUCUUCGUGUAUUGGCACACUGUCGAAGGUAAACGAAAAUAGUCGUGCCCCUCUAACGUGUAAAAUUCUAGCACAUAGGAAGAUGUUCGACGAUAUCGAAUUGUUGUUCAGGAAAGCAAUGAUGAUGGUUGGAUCGACAAGAUAGCUGUAUACAAGAUCUGAAAGUAUUUGAUCGUCUGUAGACGAUAUUGAAUCGUUGUCGAAGAAAGGAACGAUGAUGAUUGACCUCGAAGGAAGAUUCGAAGCUAUAUACAAGAUGAUGAAAGUAUUUGAUCGCCUGUAGACGAUAUUGAAGAAUGAAAUGAUGAUGAUUGAUCAAGAAAGAAAAUUCGAAGGUGAAAGUAUUCGAAUAUUUGUAGACACCUUAUUAUUAAUACGAAUAUAUUAUGACGAAUGUAUUAGAUGUGUUAUUUGGAAUAUUUUGAAAUUUCACUAACACUGUAAUGAGACUCGACUAUCAUGAUUACAUUGGUAAUGUUUGGAACCUGUUUGAAAAUAUACGUAGAAAAUACAAGAUGUUUGAUUAUAUAUUUUGUACGGACUAGAAAAGGCGUAAACAAGCAUCAGAAUUUAAAGAAUAAGUUAUGUAUUAUAUCAGUAAAUUUCAAUAAAAUGAUAUUUAAUUUACUAUCAAGUUAUUAUUAUGCUCAAGGUGGCUUCUCCUACUGUAUAUUAAUUUUUCACUAAAUAUAUGUUUACAGUAAAUACCAUUCACAUCAAUCAAUAUCAAUACAUCAAUCGUGACAGUCUCAUUACAAUGCUGAUGGAAUUUCAAAAAUGUUUUAUAUAACACAUACGAUGUACAGUGCCAUGAAUAAUAAUAAACACUUAACUCUAUUUAUACAUUUUUCAUGAUAUUAAAACAACAAUUGACUCGUUUGAACAACAAUGAAUCGUUUAUAUAAUUUGAUAUUAUAAAAUAAAACAAAACUCAAGAUACAACAAGUAAAUAUUUCCUUCUCUCGCAGUCUGGAAAAAUGAGAUUUUCUCUUAAAAUUGUGUUUUCGGCUGCGAAAAAAUAUAAAUUCAAUGUUAACUUAGUUACGUUUUUGUUCAAUACUAAGUAGGUUGGUCUUUAUUUUUGAUUACUUCUAUUAUUCUGUUAGAUGCAAUAUCUAUUAACUUAUUUAAAGUUUCGCUUUGAGUAUCCGCCCACACGAAUUUUAUUCUUUUUUUAAGUCCAAUGAUAUUUUCUAUAGAAGGCUUCUCCUGAUCGCAAAUUUUUCUUCUUAAAAUUCCCCAUAGCUUCUCGAUCGAAUUCGGAUCAGGACUCAACGCUGACCAUGCUAACAAUCCUAUAAUCUUAAAAGCACUUUUUUCUAGUGAUGGCUGUAUGAACAACAACGUUGUCUCGUUGAAAGAUUUCAGUUAUAAAAGGCAAUAAUUCACCAUGUAACAUUUCCUGGUAUCCUACGGCGUUCAAUUUAUCCUUUACAAAAAUAAUUUCACUUAAUAUAUCCAGGCAUGAUCAGCGAUUUUUUAGAGAUACUGAAGAAAUAAUUCAGUGUUUGAGUAUAUAAUUAUUCGCAACACUGUACACAUAUAUAUAAAUUUUCUAUAAUAAGUAUUCAAGUAAUCGCAUGAGCCACUGUAAAUGCUACACAUUUAUAAAUUCUUGUAAAUUGACUUAGAUUUGAUUGAAAUGUUAGAACAUUGGCCCACGGUUAGAAUUGGACAGGAUUGAGUAAUUGAGAUAGACAAAUAGCAGGGUAAAUUAGUAAGACACAGGAAGUGGCAUAUGAUUAAAUCUGCUCUAUAUUUAAGCUAUUUCUGAAUGGUUAUUUGGAUUCGUCAGGAUUACGUAUAACAUAGAACAAAGACCACGUGGGGAAAUUUGAUUGGUGUAAAAUAAGCUGUUGGGUUUAUGCGGUGUGGGUUAGUGUUGCUAUAUGUGGUGUUCCUUUUUCAUCUAUGUGGAUGGCUGAGACACUUAGAUUAGAUUGUAACCACACACAUAAACACAUACAUACACACACACAAAUACUAUAAAAAACUUAAACUAAUAUCUUUCUGACAGAUCUUUGUUAUUUUCAUAGUCUACACCUGUUCAUUGAAAACUAUCUGACUUGAGACUAUAAUCACGUAGAACUUUUUUAACAUGGAUCUAAGAUAAAUUAAAUAAGAACAACGUACAAGACAACUAUAAAUAUUUUCCAAUCAUGAGUUUCAAGAAUUCCUUGGAACGUAGACUGAUGCAUGACGAUCUAUUCUAAAAACCACUGUUCUAAGUCACGGAAUAUCCACAGCAUCGGGUGGUAUUGAUCGAAUUCUAGUCCACUUGUCAAACGUAUGACACAAGCGUGUCAUAUGCUGUGAAAAUCCAUGCUUACUCGUACGCUCUUGAUUAUUAUUUGCGUAUACGUUUGACGUAUCCUGUUUAUAUCAUUGGACAUUCAUAUAUAAGAUUCGGGAAAUUUAAACGAAAAUGUAUCGAUCUCGGAAUUGAAUAUCUCAGAAUGACUGAUUGCCAGGUAACAUUUAAAUAUUUAUAUAGUUGUAACAGAGUGAAAUACGACCGCUGUCUCCAUAUUAUAAUCACAAUUUCUCUAUUAAGAAAUAGAACGAUAGAUUAAAACUGUAUUUAUUGUAAUAUUAGUAUAGCAAUAAAUUAGUAUAGCAAUAAAUGGAUAUAUAAUGGCUACAAAAAGUAUUUGCACGCUAUAAGGUCGUAGCAUAACAUCUACACGUUAAUUAAUGAGGAUCACUUAAUUAGAAAGAUUCGGGAUCGUGAAUGAAGAUGAUUUUCGAUGGAAUUGCAAAAUCGAACAGAAGGUUCUCGCGAAUUCAGGAGCUUAAUUAGACAACGUAAGCCACGAAGAGGACAGCAAGAAAGGAGGCAAAGCGGCCAAAUGUAUUUCUGGCCAUGUCGCCCGCGCUCAAAAAAUCUCAGCGUCUCAGGGUGGCUCGCUUUAUAAUGAAGUGGCUAUUUCAAGAGGCACCAAACUCCCCAUUAUCAAACUAUAUAGAGCAAUAAUGCCUCGAAUUGAUCUUAAUUAUUCGACUUCCCGAACAAAUAGAAGUUUCUCAGAGAAAGAAUGACUGCAUACAGAUAUUGAAACAUCUUUAAAUUAAUUCAUGGAUCAAAAUUCUUUGCAGAC